GGCGUGCCUAACACAUGCAAGUCGAGCGAUUCUCUUCGGAGAAGAGCGGCGGACGGGUGAGUAACGCGUGGGUAACCUGCCCUGUACACACGGAUAACAUACCGAAAGGUAUGCUAAUACGAGAUAAUAUGCUUUUAUCGCAUGGUAGAAGUAUCAAAGCUCCGGCGGUACAGGAUGGACCCGCGUCUGAUUAGCUAGUUGGUAAGGUAACGGCUUACCAAGGCGACGAUCAGUAGCCGACCUGAGAGGGUGAUCGGCCACAUUGGAACUGAGACACGGUCCAAACUCCUACGGGAGGCAGCAGUGGGGAAUAUUGCACAAUGGGCGAAAGCCUGAUGCAGCAACGCCGCGUGAGUGAUGAAGGCCUUCGGGUCGUAAAGCUCUGUCCUCAAGGAAGAUAAUGACGGUACUUGAGGAGGAAGCCCCGGCUAACUACGUGCCAGCAGCCGCGGUAAUACGUAGGGGGCUAGCGUUAUCCGGAAUUACUGGGCGUAAAGGGUGCGUAGGUGGUUUCUUAAGUCAGAGGUGAAAGGCUACGGCUCAACCGUAGUAAGCCUUUGAAACUGGGAAACUUGAGUGCAGGAGAGGAGAGUGGAAUUCCUAGUGUAGCGGUGAAAUGCGUAGAUAUUAGGAGGAACACCAGUUGCGAAGGCGGCUCUCUGGACUGUAACUGACACUGAGGCACGAAAGCGUGGGGA
rnacentral:rRNA from 1 species